UACAGAGGAGCCAAGCGUUGUCCGGAUUGACUGGGCGUAAAGCGCACGCAGGCGGACGCGCGCGUGGGGUGUGAAAUCUGGCCGCUUAACGGCCAGGCGCCAUCCCAUACGGCGCGUCUGGAGUGAUGCAGAGGUCGAUGGAAUUGCCGGUGUAGUGGUGAAAUGCGUAGAGAUCGGCAGGAACACCCAGGGGGAAACCAGUCGACUGGGCAUCUACUGACGCUGAGGUGCGAGAGCGUGGGGAGCGAACCGGG
rnacentral:rRNA from 1 species